rnacentral:rRNA from 1 species
UACGUAGGGUGCGAGCGUUAAUCGGAAUUACUGGGCGUAAAGCGUGCGCAGGCGGUGAUGUAAGACAGAUGUGAAAUCCCCGGGCUCAACCUGGGAACUGCAUUUGUGACUGCAUCGCUGGAGUGCGGCAGAGGGGGAUGGAAUUCCGUGUGUAGCAGUGAAAUGCGUAGAUAUGCGGAGGAACACCGAUGGCGAAGGCAAUCCCCUGGGCCUGCACUGACGCUCAUGCACGAAAGCGUGGGGAGCAAACAGG